rnacentral:rRNA from 1 species
GCCUACGGGGGGCAGCAGUGAGGAAUAUUGGUCAAUGGUCGGGAGACUGAACCAGCCAAGCCGCGUGAGGGAUGAAGGUACAGAGUAUCGUGAACCUCUUUUGUCAGGGAACAAAGGCGGGGAUGCGUCCCCGGAUGAGUGUACCUGAAGAAAAAGCAUCGGCUAACUCCGUGCCAGCAGCCGCGGUAAUACGGAGGAUGCGAGCGUUAUCCGGAUUUAUUGGGUUUAAAGGGUGCGCAGGCGGUCUGUUAAGUCAGCGGUCAAAGCCCGGGGGUCAACCCGGGCCCGCCGUUGAAACUGGGAGG